GGCAGAACAAGAAACAGAAGAAACACAGAGAGUUGGUAAAGAAAAACUGACGACUCCUCCACUCGCUCUCUUAGACGGCAGCCGACCCUCCACAACCUAGGCGAACGCAGCGAGUUCCUCCAGUCCAGAGACACGAGAGAUUCUGCUCAGUUCAAUGGCAUUGCGGAAAUCCCACAGCGGAAGGAGGGGGAUACAUCACACUUUUUGAAGUAAUUCAUUCAAGUCAUAGCCGGAGAGAGAGACGCUGAACAGACGCAGUAAAUCGAUACCAAUCAGGCCCACGAUUGACAGGAAGCCGGAUUUCAGGAGACACUGACCUGACAAGUUAGCUGCAAUAGGGUAGAAACACUUGAUGAUAUUUAGUGGGAUUGAAGUUCAGUAGUGACCUAAAAACCUCUUUUGCACAUGACAUGCAGUUUCCUCUGAGAGUUGUUAAAUGGAAUCUUUUCUGCACAGUGUUUAAUUAAACCCAUUUAAGAAAUGAAUGCCUCUGCAUAAUCGCAUAAACCAAUGCUACAUAGUCUUUACAUUAAACUAUUUUCAUUUGAGGAGGAUCUUGUUCUCUUUCCAGACAUAUGCAAGGUUUUUACUGAACAUUUCCCGUGGCUAAGGCUUCGAUAACUAAAAAAUGGCACAGACCUUUUGUUGCUAUGGCAGAUUUGUUGUGAUAAAACUCAAUGAGAAGCAUGACUUCAUUUUCCACUACCAGAAAAAGGCACAAUAUUAUAGUGUGGAGACAACCACAGUAUCCU